rnacentral:rRNA from 1 species
UUGCUAUAAUUGUCAGCUAAGUGGCGCACGGGUGAGUAAUGUAUAGAUAACCUGCCCUUAAGAAAGGAAUAACAGUUGGAAACGACUGCUAAUGCCCUAUAUGCCUUUAAUACAUAAGUAUGCAAGGGAAACGCUUUAGUGCUUAAGGAUGGGUCUGUAUGGUAUCAGCUUGUUGGUGAGGUAAUGGCUCACCAAGGCUAUGACGCCUAACUGGUUUGAAAGGAUGAUCAGUCACACUGGAACUGAGACACGGUCCAGACUCCUACGGGAGGCAGCAGUGGGGAAUAUUGCACAAUGGACGAAAGUCUGAUGCAGCAACGCCGCGUGGAGGAUGACACAUUUCGGUGCGUAAACUCCUUUUAUAUAGGAAGACAAUGACGGUACUAUAUGAAUAAGCACCGGCUAACUCCGUGCCAGCAGCCGCGGUAAUACGGAGGGUGCAAGCGUUACUCGGAAUCACUGGGCGUAAAGAGCGUGUAGGCGGGUAUAUAAGUCAGAAGUGAAAUCCAAUAGCUCAACUAUUGAACUGCUUUUGAAACUGUAUACCUAGAAUGUGGGAGAGGUAGAUGGAAUUUCUGGUGUAGGGGUAAAAUCCGUAGA